CAUGCAUGUAUAAGUACAAACCUUCAUAAGGUGAAACCGCGAACGGCUCAUUAUAACAGCUAUAAUUUACUAGACCUUGAGCAAUUACAUGGAUACCUGUGGUAAUUCUAGAGCUAAUACAUGCACCGAAGUUGUUCCUCACGGAGCAAUGCAUUUAUUUGAGCAAAACCAGGCGGCUUCGGCCGUUACUGUUGAUUCAGAAUAACUAAGCUGAUCGCAUGGGCUUGUCCCGGCGACGUGUCUUUCAAGUGUCUGCCUUAUCAACUUUCGAUGGUAGUGUACGUGACUACCAUGGUGUUGACGGGUAACGGAGGAUAAGGGUUCGACUCCGGAGAAGGGGCCUGAGAAAUGGCCACUACGUCUAAGGAUGGCAGCAGGCGCGCAAAUUACCCACUCUCAGUUCGAGGAGGUAGUGACGAAAAAUAACAAGGCCGUUCUCUUUGAGGCCGGCCAUUGGAAUGGGUACAACUUAAACCCUUUAACGAGUAUCAAUGAGAGGGCAAGUCUGGUGCCAGCAGCCGCGGUAAUUCCAGCUCUCAAAAUGCAUAGAACCAUUGCUGCGGUUAAAAAGCUCGUAGUUGGAUCUGUGCCGGCGACAUGGUCCGCCUUAACCGGCGGUACUGUGCUCGUCGGCUUUGGGCCGGUCUUCGGACGGUCACCUUCACUGGUGGCCGCUCGUGGCUGGCUGGUUUACUUUGAGCAAAUCAGAGUGCUCAGCACAGGCGUCUCGCCGGAAUGUUCGUGCAUGGAAUAAUAGAAAAGGAUUUUGGUCCUCUUUUAUUGGUUUUGUGGACUGAGAUAAUGGUUAACAGAGACGGACGGGGGCAUUCGUAUUGCUGCGUGAGAGGUGAAAUUCUUGGACCGCAGCAGGACGGACUAC
rnacentral:rRNA from 1 species